rnacentral:tRNA from 1 species
GCCGCCGUGGUGGAACAGGUAGACACCCGGGACUUAAAAUCCCGUUCCGGCAACGGAGUACCGGUUCAAGUCCGGUCGGCGGCACCA